rnacentral:rRNA from 1 species
AGUGAACGCUGGCGGCAGGCCUAACACAUGCAAGUCGAGCGGCAGCGCGUCCGACCACCCUCGGGUGGUCGGAUGGCGGCGAGCGGCGGACGGGUGAGGAAUGCAUCGGAAUCUGCCUCGUUGUGGGGGAUAACGUAGGGAAACUUACGCUAAUACCGCAUACGACCUACGGGUGAAAGUGGGGGACCUUCGGGCCUCACGCGAUGAGAUGAGCCGAUGCCGGAUUAGCUAGUUGGCGGGGUAAAGGCCACCAAGGCGACGAUCCGUAGCUGGUCUGAGAGGAUGAUCAGCCACACUGGAACUGAGACACGGUCCAGACUCCUACGGGAGGCAGCAGUGGGGAAUAUUGGACGAUGGGGGCAACCCUGAUCCAGCCAUGCCGCGUGUGUGAAGAAGGCC